GGAUAAGAAGAUAAUACCUGUUACUUUCUCUGUAAGAACAUCUAAGCAAACAUCGCUUAACAGCAAUGAAGAAGUUAAUAGUUUUUCUAGCAAUCAUUUUUAUUGGCAGCUUUGCCAUGGCUUCGAUAAUAAGUCGCGAAGACGUUAUGCGACAUAAUAUAUUAGAAAAUUCGGAAAGUAAUUGUCAAGGAUUUUUUAAAAAGUGUACAUGGGACAACGAUUGUUGUGGUGUCUUGCUAUGCUCGCGCAUUCUUUCUCGUUGCGGAUGGUAUUAAACAAAAUCGGACACAUAGAAUCAAUAUGAAAUAUUAUAAAUUUGUGAAUAAAUAGAUAAUGAAACAAAUGUAA